GUCUACAGCCAUACCACCCUGAGUGCACCUGAUCUUGGAAGCUAAGCAGAGUUGAGCCUAGUUAGUACUUGGAUGGGAGAGAAUAAUAGAUUCUUUAAAAU
rnacentral:rRNA from 1 species